CAGUCGCCACGGUAAUACAGAGGGUGCGAACGUUGCUCGGAAUUACUGGGCGUAAAGCGCGUGUAGGCGGGUCGGCAAGUCAGGCGUGAAAUCCCCAGGCUCAACCUGGGAACUGCGCUUGAAACUGCCGGUCUUGAGUAUCGGAGAGGGUGGCGGGAUUCCUGGUGUAGAGGUGAAAUUCGUAGAUAUCAGGAGGAACACCGGUGGCGAAGGCGGCCACCUGGACGAUAACUGACGCUGAGACGCGAAAGCGUGGGGAGCAAACAGGAUUAGAUACCCGCGUAGUCCCUGUCUCUUAUAC
rnacentral:rRNA from 1 species